rnacentral:misc_RNA from 1 species
GAUGAAGAACGUAGCGAAAUGCGAUACUUGGUGUGAAUUGCAGAAUCUCGUGAACCAUCGAGUCUUUGAACGCAAGUUGCGCCCGAAGCCAUUAGGCCGAGGGCACGCCUGCCUGGGCGUCACACGUCGUUGCCCCCCCAUCUACUCCUUCGGGAUUGCGGGGGGCGGAUGAUGGCCUCCCGUGCGCCUCGUCGCGCGGUUGGCCUAAAUGCCAAGUCCUCGGCGACGCACGCCACGACAAUCGGUGGUUGCGAAACCUCGGUUGCCUGUCGUGUGCGGUCGUCGCGCAUCGAGGGCUCGAAAAAAUUGCCGGGCUUCGGCUCGACUUUCAACGCGACCCCAGGUCAGGCGGGGUUACCCGCUGAAUUUAAGCAUAUCAAUAAGCGGAGGA